CCCCUCCUCGGGUCGCACCUGGAGAGUUUCCAGUACUCUACCAGUGUCGAUUACGGGAGGGAGAGUCAAACAGAGGCCUACCCAUUCCAUUCCUAGCUUGGCCAGUGGAUAGCAAAUGGAAGGCAAUCUGCUACAAGU
rnacentral:snoRNA from 1 species